GGUUAAGUUAGAAAGGGCGCACGGUGGAUGCCUUGGCACUAGGAGCCGAAGAAGGACGGGACUAACACCGAUAUGCUUUGGGGAGCUGUACGUAAGCGUUGAUCCAGAGAUUUCCGAAUGGGGGAACCCACUAUCUUUAGUCGGAUAGUAUCCUUACGUGAAUACAUAGCGUGAGGAAGGCAGACCCAGGGAACUGAAACAUCUAAGUACCUGGAGGAAGAGAAAGAAAAAUCGAUUUCCUGAGUAGCGGCGAGCGAAACGGAAAGAGCCCAAACCAAGAAGCUUGCUUCUUGGGGUUGUAGGACACUCUAUACGGAGUUACAAAAGAAAGUUAUAAAUGAAGCGGUCUGGAAAGGCCCGCCAAAGACGGUAACAGCCCGGUAGUUGAAAUGGCUUUCCCUCCAGAGUGGAUCCUGAGUACGGCGGAACACGUGAAAUUCCGUCGGAAUCCGGGAGGACCAUCUCCCAAGGCUAAAUACUCCCUAGUGACCGAUAGUGAACCAGUACCGUGAGGGAAAGGUGAAAAGCACCCCGGAAGGGGAGUGAAACAGUUCCUGAAACCGUGUGCCUACAAGUAGUUAGAGCCCGUUAAUGGGUGAUAGCGUGCCUUUUGUAGAAUGAACCGGCGAGUUACGAUUUGUUGCAAGGUUAAGCGGAAAAAGCGGAGCCGUAGCGAAAGCGAGUCUGAAUAGGGCGCAUAAGUAACAGGUCGUAGACCCGAAACCAGGUGAUCUACCCAUGUCCAGGAUGAAGGUAAGGUAAUACUUACUGGAGGUCCGAACCCACGCACGUUGAAAAGUGCGGGGAUGAGGUGUGGGUAGCGGAGAAAUUCCAAUCGAACUUGGAGAUAGCUGGUUCUCUCCGAAAUAGCUUUAGGGCUAGCCUCGAGGUAAAGAGUCAUGGAGGUAGAGCACUGUUUGGACUAGGGGCCCUUCUCGGGUUACCGAAUUCAGAUAAACUCCGAAUGCCAUGUACUUAUACUCGGGAGUCAGACUGCGAGUGAUAAGAUCCGUAGUCGAAAGGGAAACAGCCCAGACCACCAGUUAAGGUCCCCAAAUAUAUGUUAAGUGGAAAAGGAUGUGGGGUUGCUUAGACAACCAGGAUGUUGGCUUAGAAGCAGCCACCAUUGAAAGAGUGCGUAAUAGCUCACUGGUCGAGUGACCCCGCGCCGAAAAUGUACCGGGGCUAAACAUAUUACCGAAACUGUGGAUGAACCUCUUUAGAGGUUCGUGGUAGGAGAGCGUUCUAAGGGCGGUGAAGUCAGACCGGAAGGACUGGUGGAGCGCUUAGAAGUGAGAAUGCCGGUAUGAGUAGCGAAAGAAGGGUGAGAAUCCCUUCCACCGAAUAUCUAAGGUUUCCUGAGGAAGGCUCGUCCGCUCAGGGUUAGUCGGGACCUAAGCCGAGGCCGAUAGGCGUAGGCGAUGGACAACAGGUAGAGAUUCCUGUACCAGUGCUAAUUGUUUAACCGAUGGGGUGACACAGAAGGAUAGGGAAUCGCACGAAUGGAAAUGUGCGUCCAAGCAGUGAGUGUGAGAAGUAGGCAAAUCCGCUUCUCGCGAAGCAUGAGCUGUGAUGGGGAAGGAAAUUAAGUACGGAAGUUCCUGAUUUCACGCUGUCAAGAAAAGCCUCUAGGAAGAGUAGUACUGCCCGUACCGCAAACCGACACAGGUAGAUGAGGAGAGAAUCCUAAGGUGAGCGAGAGAACUCUCGUUAAGGAACUCGGCAAAAUGACCCCGUAACUUCGGGAGAAGGGGUGCUCUAUUAGGGUGCAAGCCCGAGAGAGCCGCAGUGAAUAGGCCCAGGCGACUGUUUAGCAAAAACACAGGUCUCUGCAAAACCGUAAGGUGACGUAUAGGGGCUGACGCCUGCCCGGUGCUGGAAGGUUAAGAGGAGUGCUUAGCUUCGGCGAAGGUACGAAUUGAAGCCCCAGUAAACGGCGGCCGUAACUAUAACGGUCCUAAGGUAGCGAAAUUCCUUGUCGGGUAAGUUCCGACCCGCACGAAAGGCGCAACGAUCUGGGCACUGUCUCAACGAGAGACUCGGUGAAAUUAUAGUACC
rnacentral:rRNA from 1 species